rnacentral:rRNA from 1 species
GAUGAACGCUAGCGGCAGGCCUAACACAUGCAAGUCGAGGGGUAUAAGUCUUCGGACUUUGAGACCGGCGCACGGGUGCGUAACGCGUAUGCAAUCUACCUUGUACAGAGGGAUAGCCCAGAGAAAUUUGGAUUAAUACCUCAUAGUAUAUUUGAAUGGCAUCAUUUAAAUAUUAAAGUUCCGACGGUACAAGAUGAGCAUGCGUCCCAUUAGUUAGUUGGUGUGGUAACGGCACACCAAGACGAUGAUGGGUAGGGGUCCUGAGAGGGAGAUCCCCACACUGGUACUGAGACACGGACCAGACUCCUACGGGAGGCAGCAGUGAGGAAUAUUGGUCAAUGGAGGCAACUCUGAACCAGCCAUGCCGCGUGCAGGAUGACGGUCCUAUGGAUUGUAAACUGCUUUUAUACGGGAAGAAAAAGAGUUACGUGUAACUUAUUGACGGUACCGUAAGAAUAAGGAUCGGCUAACUCCGUGCCAGCCGCCGCAGUAA